rnacentral:rRNA from 1 species
ACGAACGCUGGCGGCAGGCCUAACACAUGCAAGUCGAACGGAUGUAGCAAUACAUUAGUGGCGCACGGGUGAGUAACACGUGGGAACCUACCCUUUGGUACGGAAUAACUCAGGGAAACUUGGGCUAAUACCGUAUGCCCUCUACGGAGGAAAGAUUUAUCGCCAAAGGAUGGGCCCGCGCCGGAUUAGCUAGUUGGUGAGGUAACGGCUCACCAAGGCUUCGAUCCGUAGCUGGUCUGAGAGGAUGACCAGCCACACUGGGACUGAGACACGGCCCAGACUCCUACGGGAGGCAGCAGUGGGGAAUAUUGGACAAUGGGCGAAAGCCUGAUCCAGCCAUGCCGCGUGAGUGAUGAAGGCUCUAGGGUUGUAAAGCUCUUUCGCCGGGGAAGAUAAUGACGGUACCCGGAGAAGAAGCCUCGGCUAACUCCGU